rnacentral:miRNA from 1 species
CCUGCAGCUCUGAGAUUCUAUG